UACGUAGGGGGCAAGCGUUGUCCGGAUUUAUUGGGCGUAAAGAGCGUGUAGGCGGCCAGACAGGUCCGUUGUGAAAACUCGAGGCUCAACCUCGAGACGCCGAUGGAAACCGUCUGGCUAGAGUCCGGAAGAGGAGAGUGGAAUCCGUGGUGUAGCGGUGAAAUGCGCAGAUAUCAGGAAGAACACCAAUGGCGAAAGCAGCUUUCUGGGACGGUACUGACGCUGAGACGCGAAAGCGU
rnacentral:rRNA from 1 species